rnacentral:rRNA from 1 species
UACGUAGGGUGCAAGCGUUGUCCGGAAUUAUUGGGCGUAAAGAGCUCGUAGGUGGUCUGUCGCGUCGGCUGUGAAAACUCGGGGCUCAACCCCGAGCCUGCAGUCGAUACGGGCAGACUUGAGUGCGGUAGGGGAGACUGGAAUUCCUGGUGUAGCGGUGAAAUGCGCAGAUAUCAGGAGGAACACCAAUUGCGAAGGCAGCUCGCUGGGACGUUACUGACGCUGAGACGCGAAAGCGUGGGGAGCAAACAGG